CACGUAGGCGGCUUUUUAAGUCAGGGGUGAAAUCCCGGGGCUCAACCCCGGAACUGCCCUUGAAACUGGGAAGCUAGAAUCUUGGAGAGGCGAGUGGAAUUCCGAGUGUAGAGGUGAAAUUCGUAGAUAUUCGGAAGAACACCAGUGGCGAAGGCGACUCGCUGGACAAGUAUUGACGCUGAGGUGCGAAAGCGUGGGGAGCAAACAGGAUUAGAUACCCCCGUA
rnacentral:rRNA from 1 species